GCCUCGAUGGUGUAGUGGUAGAGCACGCGCCCCCGGAUAGGAUGAUGAGCGGGUUCGAUUCCCGUUUGAGGCC